rnacentral:lncRNA from 1 species
GUCAGCCAACCUGCUUCACAUGACUUUGAAAACAAGAUAAGAGAGGCAUUUGUAUUUCUGUUUCCUCUCAUUUCAGGCCACCCACCUACCACCAACUGCAAGUUGAAAAACACUGGGGAUAGUUUGACCAGAAGACCCACUGCGUAUAGCACCUUCUGGGAGGCCAAUCACCCUGAAAGAGUGUGACCAGAGAGAAGAAAAAAAAAAAAAGAAAAACCCACAGCUGGAUCCAGGAGCACAAACCUCUCUCCACUAUUUGCCACAGAGAUGGCUGCCAUGCCUGAAGGAGGACCAAGCCAUGCUCAAAAGAGAUUGAGUCCUUCUUACAAUUAAUCAGCUACACCCCUGUGUUGUAUGUCUUGAUGUCUAAUUUCCAGAGGAAAGAUUGUUGUCAAACCAAAUAAAUGACGAUGCUUUUGGAAAAGAAAAAAAAAA